rnacentral:tRNA from 1 species
GUCAGGGAAUAGUUUAAAUAGAACUUCAGCUUUGGGUGUUGAUA